rnacentral:rRNA from 1 species
AGCGUCGGUAAGGUGAUAUGAACCGUUAUAACCGGCGAUGUCCGAAUGGGGAAACCCAGUGCAAUUCGUUGCACUAUCGUUAACUGAAUACAUAGGUUAACGAGGCGAACCGGGGGAACUGAAACAUCUAAGUACCCCGAGGAAAAGAAAUCAACCGAGAUUCCCCCAGUAGCGGCGAGCGAACGGGGAGCAGCCCAGAGUCUGAAUCAGCUUGUGUGUUAGUGGAACGGUCUGGAAAGUCCGACGGUACAGGGUGAUAGUCCCGUACACCAAAAUGCACAGGUUGUGAACUCGAAGAGUA